AGGACGACGCUGGCGGCGUGCCUAACACAUGCAAGUCGAACGAGGUCCAAGGAAGCUUGCUUCCUGAAGACCUAGUGGCGAACGGGUGAGUAACACGUGAGAAACCUGCCUCGGAGUGGGGAAUAACUCGGGGAAACUCGAGCUAAUACCGCAUACCUUCACAUGAUCGCAUGGUCGAGUGAAGAAAGAAUUUCGCUCUGAGAGGGUCUCGCGGCCUAUCAGCUUGUUGGUGGGUAACGGCCUACCAAGGCAACGACGGGUAGCUGGUUUGAGAGAACGAUCAGCCACACUGGGACUGAGACACGGCCCAGACUCCUACGGGAGGCAGCAGUGGGGAAUCUUGCGCAAUGGGCGAAAGCCUGACGCAGCAACGCCGCGUGCGGGAUGACGGCCUUCGUGGUUGUAAACCGCUUUCAGCAGGGACGAAAAUGACGGUACCUGCAGAAGAAGCCCCGGCUAACUACGUG
rnacentral:rRNA from 1 species